GCAUGGCUCAGCCGGUUACUGGGUUGAUCUUUUAUUGAGAAAGAGGUCAAGGGUUCGAUUCCCGCCAGGA
rnacentral:tRNA from 13 species